UACGGGGGGGGCAAGCGUUGUUCGGAAUUAUUGGGCGUAAAGGGCGCGUAGGCGGCUUGGCAAGUGGAUGGUGAAAUCCCUCGGCUUAACCGAGGAACUGCCGUCCAAACUGCUUAGCUUGAGACCGGGAGAGGUGAGUGGAAUUCCCAGUGUAGCGGUGAAAUGCGUAGAUAUUGGGAGGAACACCAGUGGCGAAGGCGGCUCACUGGACCGGUACUGACGCUGAGGCGCGAAAGCGUGGGGAGCAAACGGG
rnacentral:rRNA from 1 species